rnacentral:rRNA from 1 species
GACGAACGCUGGCGGCGUGCCUAAUACAUGCAAGUAGAACGCUGAAGAAUUUAGCUUGCUAAAGUUGGAAGAGUUGCGAACGGGUGAGUAACGCGUCGGUAAUCUGCAUAAUAGCGGGGGACAACUAUUCGACACGAUAGCUAAUACCGCAUAACAACAUUUAACCCAUGUUAGAUGCUUGAAAGGAGCAAUUGCUUCACUAGUAGAUGGACCUGGGUUGUAUUAGCUAGUUAGUGAGGUAACGGCUCAACAAGGAGACGUUACAUAGCCGACCUGAGAGGGUGAUCGGCCACACUGGGACUGAGACACGGCCCAGACUCCUACGGGAGGCAGCAAUAAGGAAUCUUCGGCAAUGGGGUCAACCCUGACCGAGCAACGCCGGGUGAGUGAAGAAGGUUUUCAGAUCGUAAAGCUCUGUUGUAAGAGAAGAACGUGUGUGAAAGUGGAAAGUUCACACAGUGACGGUAACUUACCAGAAAGGGACGGCUAACUACGUGCCAGCAGCCGCAGUAAUAC